rnacentral:tRNA from 1 species
GGGCAGGUAGCUCAACAGGUAGAGUGCUACAAUUAUAAAAAUUGUACUAUGACAUGGGUUCGAGCCCCAUCCUUGCCCG